UGCGUAGGCGGACUAAUAAGUCAGUGGUGAAAUCUCUCGGCUCAACCGGGAAACUGCCAUUGAUACUGUUAGUCUUGAGUUCGGUUGAGGUAGGCGGAAUGUGUAAUGUAGCGGUGAAAUGCUUAGAUACUACACAGAACACCAAUUGCGUAGGCAGCUUACUAGACCGACACUGACGCUGAGGCACGAAAGCGUGGGUAGCGAACAGGAUUAGAUACCCUGGUAGUCC
rnacentral:rRNA from 1 species